GGAGCAUGCGGCUUAAUUCGACGCAACGCGAAGAACCUUACCAAGGCUUGACAUAUACAGGAAUAUGGCAGAGAUGUCAUAGCCGCAAGGUCUGUAUACAGGUGGUGCAUGGUUGUCGUCAGCUCGUGUCGUGAGAUGUUGGGUUAAGUCCCGCAACGAGCGCAACCCUCGUUCUGUGUUGCCAGCAUUAAGUUGGGGACUCACAGGAGACUGCCGGGGUUAACUCGGAGGAAGGUGGGGAUGACGUCAAAUCAUCAUGCCCCUUAUGUCUUGGGCUGCACGCAUGCUACAAUGGCUGGUACAAACGGCUGCGAUACCGCAAGGUGGAGCGAAUCCGAUAAAGCCAGUCUCAGUUCGGAUUGGGGUCUGCAACUCGACCCCAUGAAGUCGGAGUUGCUAGUAAUCGUAGAUCAGCAACGCUACGGUGAAUACGUUCCCGGGGCUUGUACACACCGCCCAUCACGUCACGAAAGUCGGUAACACC
rnacentral:rRNA from 1 species